ensembl:lncRNA
ACACACACACACACACACACACAUAAUUAGGUCUAUUUCAGGUAUAGUUUGUAACCCUAUAUAAGGGGUACCUAUAUAAUGCACCGUAUAAAACAUCUCAUUCUGGGUUAUUUCUCUAUAACAUACAUCGUAAUAAUGUUAAUGCUUUUAUGUGAGGUCAGUAAUAUUUCACUGUUCUGUUGUGUAGGUGUUGUUCAUUCUUCUGUUGUGUAGAUGUUCACCCUCCUGUUGUGUAGAAGCUGUUCACUGUUCUGUAGAUGGUGUUCAGUUGUGUAGAUGUUGUUCACUCUCCUGUUGUGUAGAUCUUGUUCACUCUCCUGUUGUGUAGAUGUUGUUCACUCUCCUGUUGUGUAGAUGUUGUUCACUCUCCUGUUGUGUAGA